rnacentral:rRNA from 1 species
UACCAGCACCCCGAGUGGUCGGGACGAUUAUUGGGCCUAAAGCAUCCGUAGCCGGUCUUGCAAGUCUUCCGUUAAAUCCACCUGCUUAACAGAUGGGCUGCGGAAGAUACUACAAGACUAGGAGGCGGGAGAGGCAAGCGGUACUCAGUGGGUAGGGGUAAAAUCCUCUGAUCCAUUGAAGACCACCAGUGGCGAAGGCGGCUUGCCAGAAUGCGCUCGACGGUGAGGGAUGAAAGCUGGGGGAGCAAACCGG